ensembl:lncRNA
GUGUUUGUGUGUGUGUGUGUGUGUGUAGUUUUGAGUUAGGAGUGUCAAACUGAUGUGUGUGUGUGUUUGUGUGUGUGUGUGUGUGUGUAGUUUUGAGUUAGGAGUGUCAAACUGAUGUGUGUGUGUGUGUGUGUGUGUGUGUGUGUGUGUGUGUGUGUGUGUGUGUGUGUGUGUGUGUGAUUACAGUGAUAAAGUAAUCGUUUGAACAAAACCUGACCAUGGCUCUGAAAAACAACACAGCAAGUAUGUGUGUGUGUGUGUGUGUGUGUGUGUGUGUGUUUUUGAGUUAGGAGUGUCAAACUGAUGUGUGUGUGUGUGUGUGUGUGGUUUUGAGUUAGGAGUGUCAAACUGAUGUGUGUGUGUGUGUGUGUGUGUGUGUGUGUGUGUGUGUGUGUGUGUGUGUGUGUGGAUGCACGCGCGUGUGUGUGUGUGUGUGUGUGUGUGUGUG